CCUACGGGUGGCAGCAGUGAGGAAUAUUGGUCAAUGGACGUAAGCCUGAACCAGCCAAGUCGCGUGAGGGAUGAAGGUUCUAUGGAUCGUAAACUGCUUUUAUAAGGGCGUAAAGGGAGGGACGUGUCCCGGUCUGAAAGUAUCGUAUGAAUAAGGAACGGCUAACUCCGUGCCAGCAGCCGCGGUAAUACGGAGGAUCCGAGCGUUAUCCGGAUUUAUUGGGUUUAAAGGGUGCGUAGGCGGUCGUAUAAGUUAGAGGUGAAAGUCUGUGGCUCAACGUUGGAAUUGCCGGUGAGACUGGUAGGCUAGAGUGUGUUUGCGGCAGGCGGAAUGUAUGGUGUAGCGGUGAAAUGCUUAGAGAUCACACAGAACACCGAUUGCGAAGGCAGCCUACCAAGCCAUGACUGACGCUGAUGCACGAAAGCGUGGGGAGCAAACAGGAUUAGAUACCCGUGUAGUC
rnacentral:rRNA from 1 species